rnacentral:rRNA from 1 species
CUACGGGACGCACCAGUGGGGAAUAUUGGGCAAUGGGCGAAAGCCUGACCCAGCAACGCCGCGUGAAGGAAGAAGGUUUUCGGAUCGUAAACUUCUAUCCCAGGUGAAGAUAAUGACGGUAGCCUGGAAGGAAGCCCCGGCUAACUACGUGCCAGCAGCCGCGGUAAUACGUAGGGGGCAAGCGUUGUCCGGAAUGAUUGGGCGUAAAGGGCGCGUAGGCGGCCUUCUAAGUCCGAUGUGAAAGUCCUGCUUUUAAGGUGGGAAUUGCAUUGGAAACUGGAGGGCUUGAGUGCAGGAGAGGUAAGUGGAAUUCCCGGUGUAGCGGUGAAAUGCGUAGAGAUCGGGAGGAACACCAGUGGCGAAGGCGACUUACUGGACUGUAACUGACGCUGAGGCGCGAAAGUGUGGGGAGCAAACAGGAUUAGAUACCCCUGUAGUC